rnacentral:rRNA from 1 species
CAGUCCCGCGGGAAUACGAAGGGUGCAAGCGUUAAUCGGAAUUACUGGGCGUAAAGCGUGCGUAGGCGGUUUGUUAAGUCUGUUGUGAAAUCCCCGGGCUCAACCUGGGAAUGGCAAUGGAUACUGGCAAGCUAGAGUGUGUCAGAGGAUGGUGGAAUUCCCGGUGUAGCGGUGAAAUGCGUAGAGAUCGGGAGGAACAUCAGUGGCGAAGGCGGCCAUCUGGGACAACACUGACGCUGAGGCACGAAAGCGUGGGGAGCAAACAGGAUUAGAUACCCGUGUAGUCCCUGUCUCUUAUACA